CGCUAACAACCGCUACCACCCGC
rnacentral:siRNA from 1 species